rnacentral:rRNA from 1 species
CAAUAGCGUAUAUUUAAGUUGCUGCAGUUAAAAAGCUCGUAGUUGGAUUUCGGGUGGGAAUGGCCGGUCCGCCGUUUCGGUGUGCACUUGCUACGCCCACCUUGCUGCCGGGGACGUGCUCUUUAGUUCACGCUCGGGACACGGAGUCGGCGAGGUUACUUUGAGUAAAUUAGAGUGUUCAAAGCAGGCCUACGCUCUGAAUACAUUAGCAUGGAAUAACACGAUAGGACUCUGGCCUAUCUUGUUGGUCUGUAGGACCGGAGUAAUGAUUAAGAGGGACAGUCGGGGGCAUUCGUAUUUCAUUGUCAGAGGUGAAAUUCUUGGAUUUAUGAAAGACGAACUACUGCGAAAGCAUUUGCCAAGGAUGUUUUCAUUAA